ACCAGACUUGCGCUGCUUUGCUUAUCGAGGAAAUGACGUUUGCAGAAACAUUAUUGAGGGAAAGGAACUUGCGCUGCGGUUGUGUUGAAGUAGACAAGUAAAAACGUCAAGCUUUGUGAUGAGUGCAGUAGUGAGGGUGAAGAGGCAGGCCAGCCUCAAUGAUAUCGAGGACCUGAAUGUAGAGGAAGGACAGGAUGAUUUGGGCCAUGUUCAUGAUGAAGAGACUACUGAUUGCUACCAACAAAACCAUCUACAAAAUGAAUGUCUGUUUGAUUCAACAUCUUUUGAUGCAGAAAACCCUAUUUACGAAGGAUCAAACAUUACAAAGGGACAGUUACUUGCAAUGUUAAUGGCCCAUACACUUAAACAUCAUGUGUCUGGUGCUGGAAAUGUUAAAUAUAAUUGCUCCAGGUUGUGUGCCUAACACUAUGUGGUAUCUUAACAAAACUUUCUUUAACCUAGCUGACAAAGCCCAAAUAUAUUAUUAUUGUCCAGAAUGCCUUUUUUUCCUAGGGCAGAAUCCACCUGAAAGGUGUGGUGAAUGUAAUUGUGUUGUAAAUCAAAAUCAGUGCUUACAGGAUAAUUGUUUCUUUCUCGUAAUGCCUUUAUCAUGUCAAAUAAAAAAUCUUCUGCAGCAGCCCAACAUUUAUCAUGCACUCGGGUCACAUUUUAAUUCUGAUGACCUCAUAGGUGACAUACAAACAGGAAAAGAAUAUCAAAACCCCAAAUUAUCUGAUUUUGUUGAAAAUACUAAAAAUAUCACAUUGUCUUUUAAUUGUGAUGGUAGUCCUGUUUUUAAAUCAUCUCGUUAUUCAAUAUGGCCUAUUUUGUGUACCAUUAAUAAGCUUCCAUUGGAAGAGAGGGAAUAAUGUAAUGCUCCAUACAUUCUGGUUUGGUUCCAAGAAGCCUCGUGUUGAUACGUAUUUUGCACCCUUUGUAGAGGACCUUCAACAGUGUUAUACUGAUGGUGUAGAAUGGCAAGAUCAGUGUGGUAUACAACAUACAACUAAAGUGUGUCCUCUAAUCUGUGUGUGAUGCAGUUGCGCGUGCUAUGGUUCAAGUUUUCAAACAAUUUAAUGGUACUCAUGGCUAUGGCUUUUGUUUACAAAAAGGAGAAGUUGUACCAAAAGGAAAUAGUUAUGCACGUGUGUAUUCACUUGAAAAUGAAAUGGCACCUCUUAGAACAAAAGAGGAAACAAUUUGUUACGCAGAGAAAGCUUCUGCUCAAGGUCAAGAUGAAAUGGGAGUUAAAGGUGCUAGUCCCCUUCUGUUGCUCUCUGAAUUUGACAUUAUCAAGGGUUUUGUCCCUGAUUAUAUGCACUCUGUUUGCUUAGGUGUGGUUAGGCAAUUUACUAAUAUGUGGUUUGAUAGCAAGAAUGCAAAUAAAGAUUUUUUUAUAUCUUCAAGAGAUAUGAAAGUCAUUGAUCUACAAUUACUAAAAGUCAAACCUCCUAAUGAAGUUCACCGUAAUCCAAGAUCACUGUCUGAAAAGGCCUACUGGAAGGCAACAGAAUGGAGGGCAUUUCUCUUGUUGUAUUCUCCAGUUGUGCUUAGAGGUGUACUAAGUGGAAAGUUUUACAGACAUUGGAUGCUAUUAGUGAAUGCUAUAUCCAUCUUGCUGUCAUCAUCUGUCACUAAUGAGCAAAUUAACUUUUCUGAAAAAUGUUUAUAAAAUUUGUUGUACAGGUUUCAGAAAUGUAUGGUAAAGAACACUGCUCUUACAAUGUUCACCUGCUUACUCAUUUGGCAGAGUGUGCGACAGUGGGGAAUGUGGGCUAAUUCUGCAUUUGUUUAUGAGGACAUCAAUGGGAAAUUGCUGAAACUAUUUUCAGGCACCCAGUGUGUUCCUUUUCAAAUAUUUAAGGGAUUCUUUGCUGCACAAAAACUGAUGAGACAUGGCCGACACACAUUUGACAGUGCUCCUGCUGAAGCUCGUGACAUGUUCCUCAAAUUGACAGGCAGUCGACCACAUAUAAUGAAAUCUAUACAUGUGAGUUCAGAUGCUGUUACUCUUGGCAAAUGUGAAAAAAGACCUUUAUUAAUUGAAGAAAGGGUAGCACUGGAAAAGGUUGGUAGUCAACUAAACCAUUUAACUCUAGAUCAGUUAAAUGUAAGUGUGUACAAACGAUGUGUAAUUGUAAACAAGCUAUAUUGUACGGCUAGGUAUGCAACAGGAUUUAACAGAGAUAAUUCCAUCAUUGCCACUGAUACACUGGCAGCAGUGUGGAGUAGUGGUUAAGGCUCUGGACUCUUGACCGGAGGGUCGUGGUUUCAGUCCCCUAUGGGGACACUGCUGCUGUACCCUUGAGCAAGGUACUUUACCUAGAUUGCUCCAGUAAAAACCCGACUGUAUAAAUGGGUAAUUGUAUGUAAAAAUAACGUGAUAUCUUGUAACAAUUGUAAGUCGACCUGGAUAAGGGCGUCAGCUAAGAAAUAAAUAAUAUGUCUUUUGGUUA